rnacentral:tRNA from 1 species
GACUCCGUAGCUCAGCGGAUAGAGCAAACGUUUCCUAAACGUUAGGUCGGAGGUUCAAGUCCUCUCGGGGUCGCCA